rnacentral:lncRNA from 1 species
UGCGGCCCCACAAGUGUGGGUUUCCCACCCCCGUGUUGGCACUGGGGCUCACACCCCGCUCUCACCAUCUCCUCGUCCGUCUCUAUGGUAGCCAGGGAAGCUCCGAGGCGGUGGCAGUGCUCCCUGCUGCUGUUCCAAUCACUCUCCGUGUCCGAGAAAUAAUAGCAUUUCCCUUGGAAACCGAUUGAGGUGUUGGGGCACACGUGGGAGAAGGGUGGGCGAGGUGAGCACGACGGACGCUGGAGCACUAUCACGGCCACCAGCGCCGAAACAAGGAUGCACGGCACUGCACACAAAGCCACGCAGAGCACGCGGCGCCUGUUCUGUCUCAGCUCACUGCAUCUGGAGCCUCUCUGAGACUGCCGUUCUUCGUCUCCUUCGCGCGUCGUCGCCUCUCGGGUGGGGAAGUGCUCAGCCGCUCUCUUUCUUCCAUAGCAGCACGGAGGUGCGGGACUGCGCCCAUCGUGUGCGGGGAGAGGGGCAGAGAAGGGUCGGGCUGAGGGCACAGCGGUGCCGGCGGAGCGCUCUUCUUAGCGAGGACCUCACGGAGGGAUCGUGGCGGAAAGCUGAAAAACAGCCGCAUACUGCAGUGGGCACAGCGGUACCGAAGGCACUCAGUCGCAGUCGGGAAGCCGUCCGGGAACGCCGCCAACAGCCUGCUCGAUAUAAAGACGCGAUGGGCAGAGGGGCGGGGCGGGGGCGGUGCAGCAUUGCUAUUCCUCUUUCUAUUUGCUGUUUGUCUUUGCUAUUCCUGUGGUGGGUGGGGGCUCUCAAGGACUGACUGCGGUGGGGGCCAAAAUGAGCCUCGCUGAACUGAGUGAAGGGCAAAACCAGGUCCGUGCAGUAUAGAAAGAAGGGCUUCAUAGGAAGAAAAGAGAAAGCAGCUUCACAAGGUAGACAAGGGGCAAAUAGAGAUAGUUUAUGUAGAGAGUGUUAGAAAACAAGGGGUUCCAGGCACUUUCACAGGCGUUAGGUGCGAAAUAACAAGGAGAAUGAAGGCCAUAAAGAUAAGGACCGGAGAACAGCUCAAAGGUUGGCAGGGCGGUGAUGGGAUGUCUGAAGUGCGAGCUGAAACCGGUUUGGGGGAUGCCCCCC